AGGCUCGUCUUCUGCUGCACUUUGUUCACCAGCAACUCGUUCCUCCUCUGUGUCAAUCACUGCUGGCUGUUCCUCUUCCUCUGUCUGAUUUUGUGUCCUGACUCUAUUAGAUUUACGUCUAGGUGUUUCCGAAGUUUUGAUUCUCUUCCUCAGAGUUCUUGUAACUACCACAGGUUCUUCUUUUCCUUCUUCUUAUUCUUC